AUUCUUAUUCAAAAUCUUGUCAAAUUGAAUAGGACAUAGCUCAAAACACAACUACUAGCAAUUUAGGUCACUUACAACUCCUUAGAUUUCAAAUACUGACUUCAACUUCUAAUAUCUCCUUCUUCCUAGAUUAGAUUUCAUCAAGAAAUAUGUGUAAAAUAUAGCCAAAAAAGUGCUCUCUCCAAUCCUAGUUGCCAAUCUUCAAUUUCUUUCUGUACGAGUGCAUUAUAUCCAAAAAAGAGACAAUAAGUACAAAAUUAACUUUUCAACUUUGAGCGCCUAUAUCUCCUUCAUAAAAACUCCAAAUGACUAAAAAAUUUCACUAAAACCAUAGCCAAAAACCUGAACCUAUAGAUCUUAGC
rnacentral:lncRNA from 1 species